rnacentral:rRNA from 1 species
GACGAACGCUGGCGGCGUGCCUAAUACAUGCAAGUCGAGCGAAGCGGCGGAUGGGUGAGUAACGCGUGGGUAACCUGCCCUUAAGUCUGGGAUAACAUUUGGAAACAGAUGCUAAUACCGGAUACUAAAGGAUGGACCUGCGAUGCAUUAGCUAGUUGGUAAGGUAACGGCUUACCAAGGCGAUGAUGCAUAGCCGGGUUGAGAGGAUGAUCGGCCACAUUGGGACUGAGACACGGCCCAGACUCCUACGGGAGGCAGCAGUAGGGAAUCUUCCACAAUGGGCGAAAGUCUGAUGGAGCAACGCCGCGUGAGUGAAGAAGGUUUUCGGAUCGUAAAGCUCUGUUGUUGGGGAGGCGUUAAUCAACCAGAAAGUCACGGCUAACUACGUGCCAGCAGCCGCGGUAAUUC